UGUGUGUGUUACAUUUUAACGUUGCGUCGUUUGUUUUCUCUUAUUUUUUAGUGUAAUUUCACAUUGCGAUAAGACGUGUCACGGUACUUGUCUAUCCCAAAUUCAUGUAUUUGGUUUUGAUGUUAUAUUUGUUAUUCUCGUGGGAUUUUGUCUGAUGCUUGGUCCGUUUCUGUGUGUGUUACAUUUUAGUGUUGUGUCGUUGUUCUCCUCUCUUAUAUUAAUGCGUUUCCCUCGGUUUUAGUUUGUUACCCCGAUUUUGUUUUUUGUCCAUGAAUUUAUGAGUUUUGAACAGAGGUAUACUACUGUUGCCUUUAUUU
rnacentral:lncRNA from 1 species